GGCUAAAUGGAGACGUCUGGUCCCGCCGGAGACAUCCGGAUGCUAAGAGGGAAUUUGGUGCGACUGCCCGUUCAGUCAAGUCCAGAGCCGCCCCCGCGACUGUAAGCGGAGAGCUCCUGUUCAACCAGCCACUCCUGUUUUCAGGGGGAAGGCGAACAGAGGCAUCGACCCGCAAGCCAGGAGACCUGCCAGGCGUGAAUCGUAACA
rnacentral:ncRNA from 1 species